AUUUAUAUAGUUUAAAAUAAAACAAUACAUUUUCAUUGUAUAAAUAAUAUAAAUACUUAUUUAUAAAUA
rnacentral:tRNA from 3 species